rnacentral:rRNA from 1 species
ACUCAAAUGAAUUGACGGGGGCCCGCACAAGCAGUGGAGUAUGUGGUUUAAUUCGAAGCAACGCGAAGAACCUUACCAGGGCUUGACAUCCUACUAACGAAGCAGAGAUGCAUCAGGUGCCCUUCGGGGAAAGUAGAGACAGGUGGUGCAUGGUUGUCGUCAGCUCGUGUCGUGAGAUGUUGGGUUAAGUCCCGCAACGAGCGCAACCCUUGUCGUUAGUUGCUACGCAAGAGCACUCUAACGAGACUGCCGUUGACAAAACGGAGGAAGGUGGGGACGACGUCAAAUCAUCAUGCCCUUUAUGUCCUGGGCUACACACGUACUACAAUGGCGUACACAACGAGAAGCAAGACAGCGAUGUGGAGCAAAUCUCCAAAAGACGCCUCAGUUCGGAUCGCAGGCUGAAACCCGCCUGCGUGAAGUCGGAAUUGCUAGUAAUCGCGGAUCAGCAUGCCGCGGUGAAUACGUUCCCGGGCCUUGUACACACCGCCCGU